rnacentral:rRNA from 1 species
AGCGAACGCUGGCGGCAGGCCUAACACAAGCAAGUCGCACGGACUUUUCGGGGUUAGUCGCGUACGGGUGUUAAACACGUCGGAACGUGCCUUUAGGUCCGGACUAACUCAGGGAAACUUGUUCUAAUACCGAAUGUGUCCUUCGGGCGUAAGAUUAAUCGCCUUUCGAGCGGUCCGUGUCUGAUUCGCUAGUGGUCUGUGGUAAUUCCUCACCCCCGCGACGAUCUGUAGCUCGUCUGAGAGGAUGAUCUGCCACAUUCCGACUGAGACACGGCCCAAACUCCUACGCAAGGCAGCAGUGGGGAAUCUUGCGGAACGGGCGAAAGCCUGACGUAGCCAUGCCGCGUGAAUGAUGAAGGUCCUAGGAUUGUACAAUUCUUUCACAGGGGACGAUAAUGGCGGUACCCGGAGAAGAAGCCCCGGCUAACUUCGUG